rnacentral:rRNA from 1 species
GUAGGCAGCGAGCGUUGUUCGGAGUUACUGGGCGUAAAGGGUGUGUAGGCGGUUGUUUAAGUUUGGUGUGAAAUCUCCCGGCUCAACUGGGAGGGUGCGCCGAAUACUGAAUGACUUCGAGUGCGGGAGAGGUGAGUGGAAUUCCUGGUGUAGCGGUGAAAUGCGUAGAUAUCAGGAGGAACACCGGUGGUGUAGACGGCUCACUGGACCGUAACUGACGCUGAGACACGAAAGCGUGGGUAGCAAACAGGAUUAGAUACCCUGGUAGUCCACGCCCUAAACGAUGCAUAUUUGGUGUGGGCAGUUCAUUCUGUCCGUGCCGGAGCUAACGCGUUAAAUAUGCCGCCUGGGGAGUACAGUCGCAAGGCUG